AACGAACGCUGGCGGCAUGCCUAACACAUGCAAGUCGAACGAGAUCUUCGGGUCUAGUGGCGCACGGGUGCGUAACGCGUGGGAAUCUGCCUUUUGGUUCGGAAUAACAGUUGGAAACGACUGCUAAUACCGGAUGAUGACGAAAGUCCAAAGAUUUAUCGCCAGGGGAUGAGCCCGCGUAGGAUUAGCUAGUUGGUGUGGUAAAGGCGCACCAAGGCGACGAUCCUUAGCUGGUCUGAGAGGAUGAUCAGCCACACUGGGACUGAGACACGGCCCAGACUCCUACGGGAGGCAGCAGUGGGGAAUAUUGGACAGUGGGCGAAAGCCUGAUCCAGCAAUGCCGCGUGAGUGAUGAAGGCCUUAGGGUUGUAAAGCUCUUUUACCCGGGAUGAUAAUGACAGUACCGGGAGAAUAAGCUCCGGCUAACUCCGUGCCAGCCGCCGCAGUAA
rnacentral:rRNA from 1 species